UAGCUUGCUAAGACUGAUGGCGACCGGCGCACGGGUGAGUAACACGUAUCCAACCUGCCGUCUACUCUUGGACAGCCUUCUGAAAGGAAGAUUAAUACAAGAUGGCAUCAUGAGUCCACAUGUUCACAUGAUUAAAGGUAUUCCGGUAGACGAUGGGGAUGCGUUCCAUUAGAUAGUAGGCGGGGUAACGGCCCACCUAGUCUUCGAUGGAUAGGGGUUCUGAGAGGAAGGUCCCCCACAUUGGAACUGAGACACGGUCCAAACUCCUACGGGAGGCAGCAGUGAGGAAUAUUGGUCAAUGGGCGAGAGCCUGAACCAGCCAAGUAGCGUGAAGGAUGACUGCCCUAUGGGUUGUAAACUUCUUUUAUAAAGGAAUAAAGUCGGGUAUGCAUACCCGUUUGCAUGUACUUUAUGAAUAAGGAUCGGCUAACUCCGUGCCAGCAGCCGCGGUAAUACGGAGGAUCCGAGCGUUAUCCGGAUUUAUUGGGUUUAAAGGGAGCGUAGAUGGAUGUUUAAGUCAGUUGUGAAAGUUUGCGGCUCAACCGUAAAAUUGCAGUUGAUACUGGAUAUCUUGAGUGCAGUUGAGGCAGGCGGAAUUCGUGGUGUAGCGGUGAAAUGCUUAGCUAUCACGAAGAACUCCGAUUGCGAAGGCAGCCUGCUAAGCUGCAACUGAC
rnacentral:rRNA from 1 species